AACGUAGGAGACGAACGUUAUCCGGAGUUACUGGGCGUAAAGGGCGUGCAGGCGGCUUGAUAAGUUCGGCGUGAAAUUUCCCGGCUUAACCGGGGGGAUGUCGUCGGAGACUGUCGAGCUAGAGGGUGAUAGAGGCGUGUGGAAUUCCGGGUGUAGUGGUGAAAUGCGUAGAGAUCCGGAGGAACACCAGUGGCGAAGGCGGAUCUCUGGGCCUUACCUGACGCUGAGACGCGAAAGCUAGGGGAGCGAACAGG
rnacentral:rRNA from 1 species